CACGUAGGGGGCAAGCGUUGUCCGGAUUUAUUGGGCGUAAAGAGCUCGUAGGUGGCUCGGUAAGUCGGGUGUGAAAUUUCGAGGCUCAACCUCGAGACGCCACCUGAUACUGCUGUGGCUAGAGUCCGGUAGGGGAGCGUGGAAUUCCUGGUGUAGCGGUGAAAUGCGCAGAUAUCAGGAGGAACACCAGCGGCGAAGGCGGCGCUCUGGGCCGGUACUGACACUGAGGAGCGAAAGCGUGGGGAUCAAA
rnacentral:rRNA from 1 species